CCAGGUUUCCAUGUGCUGUAGCCACCACUUGAUUUCGUCUUUGGCAGCACAGUCGAGAGGAACAGAAUCUGAGUAUGAGUGCCCCAAACGAAGGUAUUUUGCCUAAUCGUUGAAGUGCCCUAUAGUGUAAGGGUCCGGGGAAGAUGUCCUGAAUUGACGCCGGGAGGAGGCCGACAAUCCUGGCCAGCUGUCUCAAAGUAAGGACAGGACGUGCUAGCGUCCGC